UUUUUUCACUAAUUGCUGUUGUAACUCUUAAAGAUAGUGAUUAGAAUUGGCCAAUCUUUUCUCAAAAUAAAAGAAAAGAUAGAAGCAACUAAAGAUACAAUAUUUGUAGAAAAUCAUUUCAUAAAUAGAAAAAACCAGUUAUCCUAUAGAUACUACAAUAUGACAAAAGCUAUUGCAUGACAAGGCUGAAAGAAUAGGUCAAGAAACCAUUUACACUUUGAUACUAGGGUCUUCUAGCUAGAAAGCAUCAAUAUAGCAAUAAGAUCAAAUUUCUUUCCUAA
rnacentral:lncRNA from 1 species